rnacentral:tRNA from 1 species
GCCUGGGUGGCUUAGUUGGUUGAGCGUCCGACUUCGGCUCAGGUCAUGAUCUCGUGGUCGUGGGUUCGAGUCCCACAUCGGGCU